rnacentral:piRNA from 1 species
UUAGAAAAGGACCUAAUAGCAGUC